UACGAAGGGUGCAACCGUUGCUCGGAAUCAUUGGGCGUAAAGCGCACGUAGGCGGCUCUGCAAGUCGGAUGUGAAAUCCCUCGGCUCAACCGAGGACGUGCAUCCGAAACUGCGGAGCUUGAGUAUGGAAGAGGGUCGCGGAAUCCCCGGUGUAGAGGUGAAAUUCGUAGAUAUCGGGGGGAACACCAGUGGCGAAGGCGGCGACCUGGGCCAAUACUGACGCUGAGGUGCGAAAGCGUGGGGAGCAAACAGG
rnacentral:rRNA from 1 species